rnacentral:lncRNA from 13 species
AUGACAUUGAAGGACUCUAAAGACCAGACCAUUAGCAAGGCUGCACCUCCCCUACAAACUGGACGGAAAUGGACAUCAUCCAAGGCUGUGCAGCAAGCAACAUCAGCCCUGAGACACCAAGACAUUGUGGGGAAUAUCCAGCAUGGAAGAGGAGGCUUUGGCCUGGCAGCAAGCAAACCAACGUUCCAUAAGGCAACAACAUCUGAACGCAGGAAGCUGGUGGUCGAGGAGGUGCGCAGACUGGAGGAGACUGCAAGAAGUGCAAAGGCUGUCUCUCUUGCUAAACAAGGGCAAUGGACGCGGUGGGAAGGCCUGGAGAGGAGAAAGAUCAACUGGAGUGAGCUUUGGCAAAUGGAGGCAAGCAACAUCAGCUUCAUCAUAAGAGCUGUUUAUGAUGUGCUUCCAUCACCAAAAAAUCUACAUCAAUGGUAUGGCGAGGACUCGACCUGCCCCCUCUGCCCAGCUCCAGCGACUCUCAGGCAUAUAAUGACAGGUUGCAAGACCAGCCUCUCACAAGGCCGCUACACCUGGAGGCACAAUCAGGUCCUCAAGAGCCUGGCUGCAGCACUUGAGACCAAGAGGAGUGCAACCAAUUCAUUACCUCCAAAAACAAGCAAUCCCAUCAAAACAACAACAUUCAUCCGGGAGGGACAGAAAAGGCCCAAGUAUCCUCCUACGAAGCCAGAAACUGGACACCUAGCCAUGGCCCGGGACUGGAAGAUGCUUGUCGAUAUUGGCCAGCAACUAAUUUUUCCACCUGAGAUUGCUUCUACCAACCUUAGGCCAGACAUGGUACUCUGGUCCCCUUCACGAAAGGCUGUGUACAUCAUAGAGCUCACAGUCCCGUGGGAAAACUCUGUUGAAGAGGCCUACGAGCGUAAGAAACUGCGUUACACAGAGUUGGCAGCAGACGCAACUCAGCGUGGCUGGAAUGCAAAAGUCUGGCCAGUUGAAGUGGGAUGCAGAGGAUUCGUGGCUUCUUCCACCAUCAGGUUGCUGAAAGAACUUGGAAUCCAUGGACAGGCUCUGCGGCAGACCGUCAGAGCAGUUUCUCAAGCAGCUGAAAGAGGCAGCCAGUGGAUCUGGAUUAAACGGAAGGACCCUUGCUGG